rnacentral:tRNA from 2 species
GGAGGGAUCGCAUAGUCCGGCCUAGUGCGCGGCACUCGAAAUGCCGUAGGGCGCUACCACGCCCUCGAGGGUUCGAAUCCCUCUCCCUCCGC